rnacentral:rRNA from 1 species
AUUUUUUUGGAUGACCUCGGAUCAGGUAGGGAUACCCGCUGAACUUAAGCAUAUCAAUAAGCGGAGGAAAGGGCAGC